AGCCAUGUGAUGAACACAAAGCGAACUAUUCUUUCGCCUUUUACUAAAGAAUACCGUGUGUUCGUCACGAUAAGUGGCAUACGCCAAUUUUUGGAGAGGUUUUUCCUUUUGGAAAUU